GUCGAUCUGCCCGAGUGGUUAAGGGGCUUGACUAGAAAUCAAGUGCGGUCUCCGCGCACAGGUUCGAAUCCUGUGGUCGACG
rfam:Cryptosporidium ubiquitum isolate 39726 contig_13, whole genome shotgun sequence.